AGUUAGUUAUGAAUUAAGAAGAGAAAUUGAUCAAAUCGGAAAAUACAAUGAAGUUGCAACACUUCCAUCAUGAAGUUGCAACGCUCUGACGUCAGGUGGCGUACGAGCAGAGCGGGGUGAAGUCGAGGGAGUCACUACAGAGUCGUCGUGUCGAGCGGACGUGCACUGCCGUUCUAGUCGGGCAGUCUACCGCGAACCAUCGUCAUGAGCGGACGUGUCGAAUAAUUACGAGGAGUGCUAUAGUCGCUCACCUAUAACUUGUAGGGACGUCAAGAAAGUGUGAUCGGAAAAGAGUACCUAGCAAGUACGUUCACAUGUCCCGAUGAUUCGGUCCGAAUAUAGGAACCAUGGGUGGUGGAGGGCAAGUAGAGGGCGAGUAGCCCCUUCGCGCUAACGUCCUUAUGCGCGCUAGAUAACGAGAGACUGUGUAACCGUUACGAAUACCGUGACGUUGCCGUGAGUGUGUACCUUAUGCUGUGACUUUAUUUAAUCGUGAUACAAAAACUAUGUGGAAGUAAAUAAAAUGAUUGUGAUACUGAUGACGGCCAUUAUUGUCUUCUAACGCCCACCCUCCAUUAUGAUGAUGAUGUUACGACCGACACCCACCCACUGUUACGACAUCAGAAGCGGGAUUAGUGGACUUGGAUGAAGACAACGUGAUGCAACGUUCACAACAAGACAAUGCAAGUUUCGAUUAUCACAAUCGGAAGAAGAUUAUGAUGAUUAUCACAUUCGUGUGACCACGUGAUGAAAAUGCCAUGCCUGAAUUUGGAGAUGGAUCUGAAUUUGAAGUGACCUGGACCUUGUUAAUGAUCGGCAUCACUACACGCCAUAAGAUAUGAUGGCGUGAACAUCACAAUAUUUCCAUACUGUGUGCAGUCGUGUUUGAAGAUUAUGGUACCUCAACUUGAAAACUGUUAUUACGGUGAGUCGUUUUCAUACUGGAACCUUAUUGUUGUUGACUUUAUUGCUAUGUGAAUUUCCGUUUCUAAUAAUGAGGAAAUUGAUUUAAAAUUAACUUGGAAAUUACUAUUUCCCUUUGUUUAAAAAGAAAAUUGACGAGAUAUAUUGUGUCAACCCGUGUCAAUCAUAACCGCGUUUUCCAAUCUGUUUUCAUCAUCGGCAAAUCUUUGUAUUUUGGUCUAAAAAUAUUUCGAAUUGGUGUAGACACGCUUGACCUGCGUGGUUAAAGUUGUAUUUUCUCACUCCAAGCAAAAAGAAAUUAAUCAUGACAUGAUAAUUGAGUCUCGUUAUAUAACGUGUUUUGUAAUCUACCGUCAUUCAUCAAAUGUUUCAAUAUUCAAUAUUCUUUAUUUGUAAUCUUUUUAAACCGAUUGAAAGAAAGUCAUGUGAAUACGAUAAUACAGUGAAUUCUUUUGUUUCAUGUCAUAACUUGCCACGUGGUUCGGCAACUGGUGGAUUGCUAGCGGCGAUGUAAGUGGUGCGGCCUGAGCUGUAGCCAUGUAAAGUGACGACAUCAUGGCAGCGCGUUGUAUACCAGCCGGACUUGCUGCGCUGGUGAAGACCUAAACCAUGUCACAAGACCAGUGGUUGAUCUUUUAUUGGAAAUUCUUAUAAGUCCUGGUGAGUCGUAUCUGUUUUACCUGAUUUGAAUAAUGGAAUUUUUAUUAGGUUUCAAACGAAUAUAGUGCAGAAAGUUCUCUUUUGUUAACUUUAAUUAAAUUGGAAAUCGUAAUGAAGUGAAGUAAACAUUGCGAAGUAAAAUGAUUUGGAUUAUGAUUAAAUGAAAUAGGCUUAAAAAAUGCCCGAAACAGUAAAUCAUUAGUGAGAAAAUUGGAGCAAAACAUUCUAAAUAAUGAUAAUACCGAAUUGGUAAUUGUUUAAAUGCGGUAAUGUUUCCUCGAGGUGUUGGUCGCUACACUGUGACUUUAUGACUUGUGUGUGUGAGAGCAGGGUGCUCUGUCGUUUUGUGGUCGUGGACCAUGGUGGCCAUCCCGGGAGGGGAUGUUGUGACUUAUGACUGUUUUGUAGCGUAACCACAGUUUGGGGAGGAAUAUUACAGUCUGUUGUGCUUUGCAGUAGAUGUGUAAUAAUGUUAAUUGAUUUAAUUGAGCAAUGACAGCUAUGAUUGACCUGUUUCGGAGCAACUCUGAUAGGAAGCUGCGCACUUGUAGUGUUCGGGGCUGCAGCCACUUUUGUGCUGCUCGUCUUAGAAACUACAGGUAUGCGGUCGAGGCCUGGAUGUCAUGUUGACUUUGUAUUUGGUCAUGACAUUGUACCUGAAUCUAAGUCAAGUUGACUUCCGGUAGAAUUAGUCAAACUACACGAAUUAGAAAUUAGUGAUGUAGAAGAAAUUUGUAACCCAUGGACCACUAUUCUACCAACUAAAAUGUAAAGUUUGUGUGCUAGCUGUGUUGAGAUAUCGUCACUUGGUGCAAGUGGCAUGAGUUGCUGUCGCUCGAUUUAGGUGGCAGCAACGACUGUGUUGAGAUAUCGUCACUUGGUGUAAGUGGCAUGAGUUGCUGUCGCUCGGUUUAGGUGGCAGCAACGACUGUGUUGAGAUAUCGUCACUUGGUGUAAGUGGCAUGAGUUGCUACCGCUCGAUUUAGGUAGUAGUGACGCCUGGUUGUGAGAUAUCGUCACUUGGUGUAAGUGGCAUGAGUUGCUACCGCUCGAUUUAGGUGGUAGUGACGCCUGGUUGUGAGAUAUCGUCACUCAGUAGAGUGGCAUGAGUUGCUACCGCUCGAUUUAGGUGGUAGUGACGCCUGGUUUUGAGAUAUCGUCGCUCAGUAGAGUGGCAUGAGUUACUAUCGCUCGUUUAGGUGAUAGUAACGACCGAUGUGUAAAGAGUAAUUGGAUUUUCAAGUUUGGUUGUUUAUAGUGUGUGAAUACUGGUCAAUGGUCCGUGUAUUGUUAGUUGAUGAUUUAUCAUGAUGUAAUAUGAGCUCGUGUAGAGUCACAAGUAGAGCUCGUGUAGAGUCACAAGUAGAGCUCGUGUAGAGUCACAAGUAGAGCUCGUGUAGAGUCACAAGUAGAGCUCGUGUAGAGUCACAAGUAGAGCUCGUGUAGAGUCACAAGUAGAGCUCGUGUAGAGUCACAAGUAGAGCUCGUGUAGAGUCACAAGUAGAGCUCGUGUAGAGUCACAAGUAGAGCUCGUGUAGAGUCACAAGUAGAGCUCGUGUAGAGUCACAAGUAGAGCUCGUGUAGAGUCACAAGUAGAGCUCGUGUAGAGUCACAAGUAGAGCUCUUGUAGAGUCACAAGUAGAGCUCGUGUAGAGUCACAAGUAGAGUCUCAUGUUGGUCAGGAAUGACCGAGCGAACUUGGAUACUGUGCUGUGGUAUAUUGUUUCAGAUUAACACACGAGGACGUGUGUCACGCAGGAUGGCCGUGUCGGAGUUAGUUAUGAAUUAAGAAGAGAAAUUGAUCAAAUCGGAAAAUACAAUGAAGUUGCAACACUUCCAUCAUGAAGUUGCAACGCUCUGACGUCAGGUGGCGUACGAGCAGAGCGGGGUGAAGUCGAGGGAGUCACUACAGAGUCGUCGUGUCGAGCGGACGUGCACUGCCGUUCUAGUCGGGCAGUCUACCGCGAACCAUCGUCAUGAGCGGACGUGUCGAAUAAUUACGAGGAGUGCUAUAGUCGCUCACCUAUAACUUGUAGGGACGUCAAGAAAGUGUGAUCGGAAAAGAGUACCUAGCAAGUACGUUCACAUGUCCCGAUGAUUCGGUCCGAAUAUAGGAACCAUGGGUGGUGGAGGGCAAGUAGAGGGCGAGUAGCCCCUUCGCGCUAACGUCCUUAUGCGCGCUAGAUAACGAGAGACUGUGUAACCGUUACGAAUACCGUGACGUUGCCGUGAGUGUGUACCUUAUGCUGUGACUUUAUUUAAUCGUGAUACAAAAACUAUGUGGAAGUAAAUAAAAUGAUUGUGAUACUGA
rnacentral:lncRNA from 1 species